rnacentral:sRNA from 1 species
CUUCGAACUGGAUAGAAAUUAACGUUUCUUCGUCGGAACGCAGGGGCAAGGCCUUGAACUAAAGACCAGCUGUCGGGAAUGAGCCACCUUUUGCAGCAGACGUUCAUACAUGACUUCUAAGUUUUUUUUUUUUUUUUUUUUCCAAAGAGGGCACGUCAGAUAUGUAUGAUCUUCAAUUAUCCACCAUCGCUGCUCAGAACAGGAACCAGGAUCAAAAGAACGCAAGGACUCCAAAAUCAUGCCAGCCAUGCGCAGGUGCGCAAUCGAUGGCUGUAGAUGGCGGGUUGCCGAUUACCGGUUGCCGGCUGUGCUUCCCCGCGCCCUGUGAUGUUGGAAGCCGAGCGAACUUUCCUUUCCAUGAUGUUCUUUUUGAUGAAACAAAUUCCUGCGUCAAAUCGAGGAUGAGACCUUUCCUAUCUUCGCUCUACUGGCUUGCAAUACAGGCAGGAGACGCAGCUAUGGAGGGGUUCAUGAAAAGCAGAGACGGUCUGGGGUUCUUGAACAGAUGAGGAUGAUUUUUAGCCGUUUCUAUUUAUUUGAUCUUUCUGACUUUCCCUCUAUGUACAGUACAUCCUGUCUUGUGCAUAAUAUAGUAACUAGUCGAGAAUCGAUUACUGAGCUAUUAUUAUUCUUCAUAUAGCUAUUAGUGAGGGGAAAUGAUAUCAAACUAGGAGCGUUAGUAUCAAUCUUUCCGGGUAUUUGAAUAGUGGUUUGUUUCAAGGCGA